rnacentral:rRNA from 1 species
UACGUAGGGGGCGAGCGUUGUCCGGAAUUACUGGGCGUAAAGGGCGUCUAGGCGGUUUCUUAAGUCCGCUGUGAAAGGCCGGGGCUCAACCCCGGAAGGUCAGCGGAGACUGGGAGACUCGAGGGUCGGAGGGGAGUGCGGAAUUCCUGGUGUAGCGGUGGAAUGCGUAGAGAUCAGGAGGAACACCGAUGGCGAAGGCAGCACUCUGGCCGAACCCUGACGCUGAAGCGCGAAAGCGUGGGGAGCGAACGGG